GAGAACCACCAAGCGUAUAGCAUUCCCUCACGCGAGAAUUAUGCUUCACCAACCUGCUAGUGCUUAUUAUCGGGCAAGGACACCAGAAUUUUUACUAGAAGUAGAAGAGUUACACAAAGUUCGCGAAAUGAUCACAAGGGUUUAUGCAGUAAGAACAGGCAAGCCUUUUUUGGUUGUAUCCGAAGACAUGGAAAGGGAUGAUCGUAAGAGCGUCGA